CCUACGGGAGGCAGCAGUAGGGAAUAUUGCUCAAUGGGGGAAACCCUGAUGCAGCAACGCCGCGUGAGUGAAGAAGUAUUUCGGUAUGUAAAGCUCUGUCAGCAGGGAAGAAAGCAAUGAUGGUACCUGAACAAGAAGCCCCGGACAACGACGUGCCAGCAGCCGCGGUAAGACGUAGGGGGCAAGCGUUAUCCGGAAUUACUGGGUGUAAAGGGAGCGUAGACGGCUGUGCAAGUCUGGAGUGAAAGGCGGGGGCUCAACCCCCGGACUGCUCUGGAAACUGUAUGGCUGGAGUGCAGGAGAGGUAAGUGGAAUUCCUAGUGUAGCGGUGAAAUGCGUAGAUAUUAGGAGGAACACCAGUGGCGAAGGCGGCUUACUGGACUGUAACUGACGUUGAGGCUCGAAAGCGUGGGGAGCAAACAGGAUUAGAUACCCUUGUAGUC
rnacentral:rRNA from 1 species